rnacentral:rRNA from 1 species
AUUGAACGCUGGCGGCAGGCCUAACACAUGCAAGUCGAACGCGUGGCGGACGGGUGAGUAAUGUCUGGGAAACUGCCCGAUGGAGGGGGAUAACUACUGGAAACGGUAGCUAAUACCGCAUACCAUCGGAUGUGCCCAGAUGUGAUUAGCUUGUAGGUGGGGUAACGGCUCACCUAGGCGCAGAUCCCUAGCUGGUCUGAGAGGAUGACCAGCCACACUGGACCUGAGACACGGUCCAGAGUCCUACGGGAGGCAGCAGUGGGGUAUAUUGCGAAAUGGGCGCAAGCCUGAUGCAGCCCUGCCGCGUGUAUGAAGAAGGCCUUCGGCGUGUAAAGUACUUUCGGCGGGGAGGCGUUACACACAGAAGAAGCACCGGCUAACUCCGUGCCAGCAGCCGCGGUAAUAC